ACGGGUGAGUAACGCGUGGGAACCUACCCUUUGGUACGGAACAACUCGGCGAAAGCUGAGCUAAUACCGUAUGUGUCCUUCGGGAGAAAGAUUUAUCGCCAAAGGAUGGGCCCGCGUCGGAUUAGCUAGUAGGUAGGGUAACGGCCUACCUAGGCGACGAUCCGUAGCUGGUCUGAGAGGAUGAUCAGCCACACUGGGACUGAGACACGGCCCAGACUCCUACGGGAGGCAGCAGUGGGGAAUAUUGGACAAUGGGGGCAACCCUGAUCCAGCCAUGCCGCGUGAGUGAUGAAGGCCUUAGGGUUGUAAAGCUCUUUCGCCCGCGAAGAUAAUGACGGUAGCGGGAGAAGAGGCCCCGGCUAACUUCGUGCCAGCAGCCGCGGUAAUACGAAGGGGGCUAGCGUUGUUCGGAAUCACUGGGCGUAAAGCGUACGUAGGCGGACGAAUAAGUCAGGGGUGAAAGCCUGGAGCUCAACUCCAGAACUGCCUUUGAUACUGUUCGUCUCGAGUCCGGGAGAGGUGAGUGGAACUGCU
rnacentral:rRNA from 1 species